rnacentral:lncRNA from 1 species
UCAAGUUUGGGCUGAAGCUUAACAUUUCAAAGAAAGACAAUGAAAAUGUUUGCCUCUCAGGUCACAUGCUGUUAAGAGAGAGAAAUUAACCAAACUAGGCAGAGUCAGGAUUUUCUUGGGAUUACCCAAGAAGAAAAUGAUUUAUUCUGCCCCCGCGGUUUGGUGCAAGAUAUAGAUAAACCCCCAAUGUGUGGAACUUGUGUCCAGAAAUCGUCCUGCAAUCAAAUCUUCUCCUCAACAUUUCGGUUCUUCAUCCUUCCACCCCACCACCUCCAUUUUGGAACACUUUGAAUGUCCUCUGGAAGAAAAAGAAAGAAGAACUGUCUCUGGGGAAACACUCCUGGGUUUCCAACAAAGCCUGCUGCUGUUACACCCGUUGAUGACUGAAAUCAAAAACACAUGGAGACUCUGGGAGAGAACUGUUUCUUUUUAUAGGCCUUUUGUGCCCUUCUGAAAAUGUCAAGACGCAGUAAGGAAAAUGUCAAGGAACAGUAAUGGGCUUAUACUCUGCGAUGCUUGUUUGUGACGUGUUUACAAAGCCUUAGGAAUUUCGUUCUGCGCUGGGCCCGACAUGAGCCAAGAAAGAGAUCUUGCUGCCCAUUCACAGACUCCACAUUGGGUGUUACUCCCCUCACCAGUUAAAAAUAAUCUUCUCUGGCAUGGCUCGACCAACUCACACUUUGGAUGCUUCUAGACAGAUGGCUCCUAGUAUUGUUAAUUGAAAGGCUUUGAGAUAUAGCCAAAUUUAGUCAAGGCUACUGCCAUUGCAAUUGGUAAGACUCCUAUUAGUCAGGACAGAGGCUCUAUUGAUUUCAAUAGGUCGACUCCAUUCAACCUAUGAUGCAGCUUUUGGUUUUAACCCAUUUUGUAGCUUUUGUACACAUAAACCAAGAAAUCUCUACAGUCCUUUUGGAAGAAAACCAGUGGCUAGCAUAAAUCAGCUGAGAGUGGAGUGAUUCUUUGUAUAGAAUGCAAUUUGAGACUACAACUCCCAGAAUUCCAGAGGCUAUGCAACUAUUAGCUGACACUCUGGAUCAGCCAUAUAUGUCUUCUGGCAUUUAUUCUUCUUCAGUUUGAAAACAAGCAUUAAAAAAAAAAAAAGACUGGUACUGCCGCUGGAGCUACCAAGUUAAAAAUCUUGGCAGAGUGGAGCAUUGUUCAUUAUGCGCACUAAACUAUAGAUGCUAUACUGCAAAAUUGGAUGUUAAACUCUAUAUUAAAUGCAAAAUAAACAGCUAAACUCUCAACUACUUUUUUGUUUA